rnacentral:lncRNA from 1 species
AUGGAGAACCAGUCAGGUCAAGCUCAGGACGGCAUGGCCGAUCAAAGAUUUCGCAGCUGGCUGACAGAACAAUUUAACACGCAGCCGUAUGCCGGCUCUUCUUCCAACUUAGCAGUAAUGCAGAUGCAGGUUCUGCCAUCUCACACAACUUCUCAGAUCAUAGACACACACCCACCUGAAUAUGAUGGCUACAACUGGAGAAUUUGUGGGCAGAAAGUAGUUCAGGGUGGGUGCCAUCAGAAAUUCUACUAUGAAUGUUCUCAAGCAAACUGCGGUGCCGAGAAAUCCGUGACACGCUCCGCAGAUGGACAGAUCAAGAAAACAGUAUGUAAGGGCAGUCACAACCAUCCACUCUCAUCAGAAAGGGUGUUUGGAGAAGGUUCAGCUACGCUGGAUGCAAUCCCUGUUGGUGAGAUAUUACAGGCAGCAGGGGUUAUCAGGCCUUCAGUUGCAAUGCCUAUGAAUGAGGAGGAAGAUGAGCUACAAUCUGGUUUGGGUGACAGCGAGGAAGAUGAUGCUAAUGAAGCAAGAGUUGAUGGUGACGGUGCUGCUGCUGAUGCCAAUGCAAUAGAAAGACAUGGUGCAGCUCAAGAUAUCACCGCUCAAACUGCAACUGAGGUUGAUGUUACGGGUAACGGCUGUCAGCAACGUAAGAAUUAUUGCCGAAGUGAAAAUAGAAGAUCAAAGUCCAAGGUAUGGAAGGAAUUUACAGCUGUGUUAAGUGUUGGAAAAAUUCAAAGUGCAGAAUGUAAGCAUUGUAAAAAGUGCCUUAGUGGAAAAAGUUCUGGAGGAACAAGCCACCUGCGUCGACAUCUAAAGAUAUGUCCUGGACAAUGCAGAGAUACUAGGAUACAGCAAAAAUGGUCAUCUUCAAGACUUGAUUCAUCUGAUGCAAAUAACUGGGAAUUUGAUCAGGAAACAUCUCUUGAGUUGCUUACAAGGGCUUUAGUCUCCAACCUUUGCCCGUUUUCAGUGACAACCAGUGCAAAUUUUAGGAAGUUUUUUGCUGGCAUCUGUCCUACAUAUAAUAUUGUGCCACAGGCUGCAAUUGAAGAGAACUAUGAAUAUGGUACUGAAAAGACUAACAAGGCUCUAAUAAAAGCAGCAGUCCAAGAUUGGAAUCUUGAGAAGAAGCUUUUAGGAAUUGCAUUGCCAACGAAUAUAGGUAAUGAAGUUAUAUUGGAUUUGGAGGAGACUAUGACAGCAGCAGGACAGAAUUUCCUUCUUGCUAAAUAUAAGUUAUUAAUUGUGCCUUGUAUGAUAAACGCGCUUCAUGGCUUGUUUGGUUAUACUCUUGAAAGAUACGUCCUGGAAGCAAGUCGGGAAUGGUUUGAGUACAUGACAUGCUCAGCAAUUCGUCUGGAAAAAUACAAGGAAAUUUUGUUGCGCCUGCACCUAAGCCAACCAUCUUUUGGUUCACAGAAAUGGCAUUUGACUUACUACUUAUUUGAGGCUGCUUUGCAGUUUGUAAAAGAAUUCCCAAACCCUGACGCGGCGCAUUUGAAAAUGUUUCUACGGAAACCAUUUCCUGAAAGACUAGAAGCAACAAAAAACUUUUGUGAUCUUGCAAGGCCAAUUUACCAUGCAAUUGAUGUACUUUCCAGACAGAACGUGGCUUUCAACUCACAUUUUCAU